GCGGCUGUAGCUCAGUUGGAUAGAGCGUCUGCUUGCAAUGCAGAAUGUCGUGGGUUCGAAUCCCAUCAGCCGCU
rnacentral:tRNA from 1 species